rnacentral:ribozyme from 15 species
UAUGCAUACACGCGAAAGAAAGAAAAGAAGGAAGAAGAAAAAAGAAACAAUGAA